rnacentral:sRNA from 1 species
CGUUUGCCUGCUGGGGGCAAAUGUAAUGGAUAUGCGAGUCAAUGCCGCCAGCCGUGAUAAUCUUGCCCUCGCCAGCCACCACGUCGGUGCAACUGCCCACCACCAUGUUCGGCGUCACCCCAUCCAUGAAGUCGGGGCUGCCCGCUUUGCCGAUGCCGACGAUGAUGCCGUCCUUGACGCCAAUGUCCGCCUUGUAGAUGCCGGACCAGUCCACGAUGAGGGCAUUCGUCACCACCGUGUCCAGCGACUCGGCGUCGGACCGGCCGGCAGCCUGGCCCAUGCCUUCCCGCAG